GAUGAACGCUGGCGGCGUGCCUAAUACAUGCAAGUCGAGCGAACAGACGAGGAGCUUGCUCCUCUGACGUUAGCGGCGGACGGGUGAGUAACACGUGGAUAACCUACCUAUAAGACUGGGAUAACUUCGGGAAACCGGAGCUAAUACCGGAUAAUAUAUUGAACCGCAUGGUUCAAUAGUGAAAGACGGUUUUGCUGUCACUUAUAGAUGGAUCCGCGCCGCAUUAGCUAGUUGGUAAGGUAACGGCUUACCAAGGCAACGAUGCGUAGCCGACCUGAGAGGGUGAUCGGCAACACUGGACCUGAGACACGGUCCAGACUCCUACGGGAGGCAGCAGUAGGGAAUCUUCCGCAAUGGGCGAAAGCCUGACGGAGCAACGCCGCGUGAGUGAUGAAGGUCUUCGGAUCGUAAAACUCUGUUAUUAGGGAAGAACAAAUGUGUAAGUAACUAUGCACGUCUUGACGGUACCUAAUCAGAAAGCCACGGCUAACUACGU
rnacentral:rRNA from 1 species